GGCUACAUAGCUCAGUCGGUUAGAGCGCAGCAUUCAUAAUGCUGAUGUCCCAGGUUCAAGUCCCGGUGUAGCCA
rfam:Pseudomonas mendocina ymp, complete genome.